rnacentral:rRNA from 1 species
CCCUUAGAUGUCCUGGGCCGCACGCGCGCUACACUGAUGCAUGCAACGAGUUUAUAACCUUGGCCUGAAAGGUCUGGGUAAUCUUUUGAACGUGCAUCGUGAUAGGGAUAGAUUAUUGCAAUUGUUAAUCUUGAACGAGGAAUUCCUAGUAAACGCGAGUCAUCAGCUCGCAUUGAUUACGUCCCUGCCCUUUGUACACACCGCCCGUCGCACCUACCGAUUGAAUGGUACGGUGAAGAUCUCGGACUUCGAUAUUUAUUCUUUAUUGAGUUUAUAUUGUGGGAAGUUAUCUAAACCUCAUCAUUUAGAGGAAGGUGAAGUCGUAACA